AAAACUAACUGCAAACGACGAACGUUUCGCACUCGCCGCUUAAAUCCGGUGAGCCUUGCAACAGCACGCUGAUGGGCUGGGCAAGGGGGUAGCAAUACCUCCCGGCUGCAAGGGAAUUUACAUCAGCUGGCUGCGUGCUGGGCUUCUUAGUACGUGGCAAGAUCCAAGGAAGCUGGCAUCCCGGGUAGCGUGCGCCUGCGCGACUCGGGAGGCGAGACUCAAAACAGAACGCUAAACAUGUAGAUCUGCCCGGCGAAGGCUUGCGGACGCGGGUUCAAUUCCCGCCAGCUCCACCA
rnacentral:tmRNA from 1 species